UACGGAGGGAGCUAGCGUUGUUCGGAAUUACUGGGCGUAAAGCGCGCGUAGGCGGCUUUGUAAGUUAGAGGUGAAAGCCCGGGGCUCAACUCCGGAACUGCCUUUAAGACUGCAUCGCUUGAAUCCGGGAGAGGUGAGUGGAAUUCCGAGUGUAGAGGUGAAAUUCGUAGAUAUUCGGAAGAACACCAGUGGCGGAAGGCGGCUCACUGGACGGUAUUGACGCUGAGGUGCGAAAGCGUGGGGAGCGAACGG
rnacentral:rRNA from 1 species